UAGUCUGGGAUACCACUUGGAAACAGGUGCUAAUACCGGAUAAGAAAGCGGAUCGCAUGAUCAGCUUUUAAAAGGCGGCGUAAGCUGUCGCUAUGGGAUGGCCCCGCGGUGCAUUAGCUAGUUGGUAAGGUAAAGGCUUACCAAGGCGAUGAUGCAUAGCCGAGUUGAGAGACUGAUCGGCCACAUUGGGACUGAGACACGGCCCAAACUCCUACGGGAGGCAGCAGNG
rnacentral:rRNA from 1 species